UCCAAUCGAUUUGAGUGGGAG
rnacentral:piRNA from 1 species